AAAUUGAAGAGUUUGAUCAUGGCUCAGAUUGAACGCUGGCGGCAGGCCUAACACAUGCAAGUCGAACGGUAACAGGAAGCAGCUUGCUGCUUUGCUGACGAGUGGCGGACGGGUGAGUAAUGUCUGGGAAACUGCCUGAUGGAGGGGAUAACUACUGGAAACGGUAGCUAAUACCGCAUAACGUCGCAAGACCAAAGAGGGGGACCUUCGGGCCUCUUGCCAUCGGAUGUGCCCAGAUGGGAUUAGCUAGUAGGUGGGGUAAUGGCUCACCUAGGCGACGAUCCCUAGCUGGUCUGAGAGGAUGACCAGCCACACUGGAACUGAGACACGGUCCAGACUCCUACGGGAGGCAGCAGUGGGGAAUAUUGCACAAUGGGCGCAAGCCUGAUGCAGCCAUGCCGCGUGUAUGAAGAAGGCCUUCGGGUUGUAAAGUACUUUCAGCGAGGAGGAAGGUGUUGUGGUUAAUAACCGCAGCAAUUGACGUUACUCGCAGAAGAAGCACCGGCUAACUCCGUGCCAGCAGCCGCGGUAAUACGGAGGGUGCAAGCGUUAAUCGGAAUUACUGGGCGUAAAGCGCACGCAGGCGGUUUGUUAAGUCAGAUGUGAAAUCCCCGGGCUCAACCUGGGAACUGCAUUUGAAACUGGCAAGCUUGAGUCUCGUAGAGGGGGUAGAAUUCCAGGUGUAGCGGUGAAAUGCGUAGAGAUCUGGAGGAAUACCGGUGGCGAAGGCGGCCCCCUGGACGAAGACUGACGCUCAGGUGCGAAAGCGUGGGGAGCAAACAGGAUUAGAUACCCUGGUAGUCCACGCUGUAAACGAUGUCGACUUGGAGGUUGUGCCCUUGAGGCGUGGCUUCCGGAGCUAACGCGUUAAGUCGACCGCCUGGGGAGUACGGCCGCAAGGUUAAAACUCAAAUGAAUUGACGGGGGCCCGCACAAGCGGUGGAGCAUGUGGUUUAAUUCGAUGCAACGCGAAGAACCUUACCUGGUCUUGACAUCCACAGAACUUAGCAGAGAUGCUUUGGUGCCUUCGGGAACUGUGAGACAGGUGCUGCAUGGCUGUCGUCAGCUCGUGUUGUGAAAUGUUGGGUUAAGUCCCGCAACGAGCGCAACCCUUAUCCUUUGUUGCCAGCGAUUCGGUCGGGAACUCAAAGGAGACUGCCAGUGAUAAACUGGAGGAAGGUGGGGAUGACGUCAAGUCAUCAUGGCCCUUACGACCAGGGCUACACACGUGCUACAAUGGCAUAUACAAAGAGAAGCGACCUCGCGAGAGCAAGCGGACCUCAUAAAGUAUGUCGUAGUCCGGAUUGGAGUCUGCAACUCGACUCCAUGAAGUCGGAAUCGCUAGUAAUCGUAGAUCAGAAUGCUACGGUGAAUACGUUCCCGGGCCUUGUACACACCGCCCGUCACACCAUGGGAGUGGGUUGCAAAAGAAGUAGGUAGCUUAACCUUCGGGAGGGCGCUUACCACUUUGUGAUUCAUGACUGGGGUGAAGUCGUAACAAGGUAACCGUAGGGGAACCUGCGGUUGGAUCACCUCCUUA
rnacentral:rRNA from 1 species